GUGAUGUCACGGAACCUUUGUUGUCUUCGACAUGGGUAA
rnacentral:misc_RNA from 1 species